rnacentral:rRNA from 1 species
AUUGAACGCUGGCGGCAGGCUUAACACAUGCAAGUCGAGCGAGCGGCGGACGGGUGAGGAAUGUCUGGGAAAAUGCCUGAUGGAGGGGGAUAACUACUGGAAACGGUAGCUAAUACCGCAUACCAUCAGAUGUGUCCAGAUGGGAUUAGCUUGUAGGUGGGGUAAUGGCUCACCUAGGCGACGAUCCCUAGCUGGUCUGAGAGGGUGACCAGCCACACUGGAACUGAGACACGUUCCAGACUCCUACGGGAGGCAGCAGUGGGGAAUAUUGCACAAUGGGGGCAAGCCUGAUGCAGCCAUGCCGCGUGUGUGAAGAAGGCCUUCGGGUUGUAAAGCACCUUCAGCGAGGAGGCGUUACUCGCAGAAGAAGCACCGGCUAACUCCGUGCCAGCAGCCGCGGUAAUAC